AUGGAGGAUAGAAGCAACUCCAAUAAGAGGAAAGGAGACGGCGAGCAGGAGGGAAGAAAAAGCGGUUGCAAGAGGCAGAAUGUGAGCACGGUGAUGGAGGUAUUCGACUGCACCGUCUGCUCCAAGCCCCUGAGGCCUCCCAUUUUCCAGUGUUCCAAGGGAAACUCCAUCUGCCGGCAUUGCCAGGAGAGGCUCCCGUUAUUCGAACGGAUCCCCGUCCAGCGCUGCUACAUCAUGGAGCGCGUCGUCGACAACAUCUUUGUUCCCUGCAAACACGGAUGCUCCACGACGAUCGCUUACUACCAGAAGGAAAAGCACGAGAGGCAGUGCCCUUGUGGCCCGUGCUUGUGCCCGGUCUCCGGCUGUGGCUUCGUCGCGCCAACCACGGUGCUCCUGGACCAUCUUGCCACUGUGCACAAGUUGCCAACAACACCGAUGGAGUUAUUCAAGCCGUUCGAAGUCCCGGUGCUGCCGGGCUCCCGAGUUCUCAAAACCAAAUACAACCGCCUCUUCCUGCUCAAGAUGGAUGCGCUGGAGUCCUACGGCCAUGGCGUCUCACUCGUCUGCGUGCAGCCAGAAACUCCGGGAGGAAAUGUCCGAAUCACCGUGGGUUUCUCAUGCGCACCAGGACAUAAUCAUGAGUCAAAGUGGGAAAUGGGACCCAAUGGGGUACCAAAGCAAUGCUUGUGCAUCGUGCCUGGUAAAGAAACCGAUGUCGUGGCCACCAUCACAAUAGAGAGGGAGGACUAUGAGGAAGACUAA
rnacentral:rRNA from 1 species